rnacentral:tRNA from 3 species
GGCAUAGCUCAGCUGGAUAGAGCGUCUGGCUACGGACCAGAAGGUCGGGGGUUCGAAUCCUCUUGCC